rnacentral:rRNA from 1 species
UGGCUCAGGAUGAACGCUGGCGGCGUGCUUAACACAUGCAAGUCGAACGAUGAACCGGUGCUUGCACCGGGGAUUAGUGGCGAACGGGUGAGUAACACGUGAGUAACCUGCCCUUGACUCUGGGAUAAGCCUGGGAAACUGGGUCUAAUACCGGAUAUGACCUUCCAUCGCAUGGUGGUUGGUGGAAAGCUUUUGUGGUUUUGGAUGGACUCGCGGCCUAUCAGCUUGUUGGUGGGGUAAUGGCCUACCAAGGCGACGACGGGUAGCCGGCCUGAGAGGGUGACCGGCCACACUGGGACUGAGACACGGCCCAGACUCCUACGGGAGGCAGCAGUGGGGAAUAUUGCACAAUGGGCGCAAGCCUGAUGCAGCGACGCCGCGUGAGGGAUGACGGCCUUCGGGUUGUAAACCUCUUUCAGUAGGGAAGAAGCGAAAGUGACGGUACCUGCAGAAGAAGCGCCGGCUAACUACGUGCCAGCAGCCGCGGUAAUACGUAGGGCGCAAGCGUUAUCCGGA